UACAGAGGGUGCGAGCGUUAAUCGGAAUUACUGGGCGUAAAGCGCGCGUAGGCGGCUUUGCAAGUCUGUCGUGAAAGCCCCGGGCUCAACCUGGGAAUUGCGAUGGAGACUGCAAGGCUUGAAUCUGGCAGAGGGGGGUAGAAUUCCACGUGUAGCAGUGAAAUGCGUAGAUAUCGGGAGGAACACCUGAGGCGAAGGCGGGCUACUGGGCCGAUACUGACGCUGAUGCGCGAAAGCCAGGGGAGCGAACGGG
rnacentral:rRNA from 1 species